AGCGAACGCUGGCGACAUGCUUAACACAUGCAAGUCGCACGGUCGGGCUUCGGUUCGGCAGUGGCGGACGGGUGAGUAACGCGUAGGUAUCUGUCCAUGGGUGGGGGAUAACGGUUGGAAACGACUGCUAAUACCGCAUGACACCUGAGGGUCAAAGGCGCAAGUCGCUUGUGGAGGAGCCUGCGUUCGAUUAGCUAGUUGGUGGGGUAACUGCCUACCAAGGCGACGAUCGAUAGCUGGUCUGAGAGGAUGAUCAGCCACACUGGGACUGAGACACGGCCCAGACUCCUACGGGAGGCAGCAGUGGGGAAUAUUGGACAAUGGGCGCAAGCCUGAUCCAGCAAUGCCGCGUGUGUGAAGAAGGUCUUCGGAUUGUAAAGCACUUUCGACGGGGACGAUGAUGACGGUACCCGUAGAAGAAGCCCGGCUAACUUCGUG
rnacentral:rRNA from 1 species